UGAGUAACCUGCCCCUAACUCUGGGAUAAGCCUGGGAAACUGGGUCUAAUACCGGAUAUGACUCCUCAUCGCAUGGUGGGGGGUGGAAAGCUUUUUGUGGUUUUGGAUGGACUCGCGGCCUAUCAGCUUGUUGGUGAGGUAAUGGCUUACCAAGGCGACGACGGGUAGCCGGCCUGAGAGGGUGACCGGCCACAUUGGAACUGAGACACGGUCCAGACUCCUACGGGAGCAG
rnacentral:rRNA from 1 species